rnacentral:misc_RNA from 1 species
GAUGAAGAACGCAGCGAAAUGCGAUAAGUAAUGCGAAUUGCAGAAUUCCAGUGAGUCAUCGAAUCUUUGAACGCACAUUGCGCCCCUUGGCAUUCCGAAGGGCAUGCCUGUUCGAGCGUCAUGAUCAAAUCUCAAGCUUUGCUUGGUAUUGGGUUUUCGUCUUUGUCCUUCAUACGGGUAUUGACGUGCCUGAAAAUCAGUGGCGGUGCCCUCAAUAGCCUCAAGCGUAGAAGACUGACUCGCUUUGGAGUACUUUUGUAGGUUCUGUCAAUUAAAAACAAGUUGGACCUCGGAUCAGGUAGGGAUACCCGCUGAACUUAAGCAUAUCAAUAAGCGGAGGA